rnacentral:rRNA from 1 species
GACGAACGCUGGCGGCGUGCUUAACACAUGCAAGUCGAACGGAAAGGCCCUUCUCUUGUGGCGUGCUCGAGUGGCGAACGGGUGAGUAACACGUGAGUAACCUGCCCUCGACUUUGGGAUAACUUCAGUAAACUGUGGCUAAUACCGGAUAGGAGCUCCUGCUGCAGGGUGGGGGCUGGAAAGUGUCGGCGGUUGGGGAUGGACUCGCGGCUUAUCAGCCUGUUGGUGGGGUAGUGUCUUACCAAGGCUUUGACGGGUAGCCGGCCUGAGAGGGUGACCGGCCACAUUGGGAGUGAGGUACGGCCCCGAAUCCUACGGGAGGCAGCAGUGGGGAAUAUUGCACAAUGGGCGGAAGCCGGAUGCAGCAGCGCCGCGUGCGGGAUGAAGGCCUUCGGGUUGUACACCGCUUUCGCCUGUGACGAAGAGUGAGUGACGGUAAUGGGUAAAGAAGCACCGGCUAACUACGUG